rnacentral:rRNA from 1 species
GGUGAGUAACACGUGAGAAUUUGCCUUUAGGAGGGGGAUAACAGAGUGAAAACGCUGCUAAUACCCCAUAUGCUUUCGAGUGAAAUGGAUUUAUUCGCCUAAAGAGAAGCUCGCGGCUGAUUAGCUUGUUGGUAAGGUAAUGGCUUACCAAGGCGACGAUCAGUAUCUGGUUUGAGAGGACGAUCAGACACACUGGAACUGAGACACGGUCCAGACUCCUACGGGAGGCAGCAGUGGGGAAUUUUCCGCAAUGGGCGAAAGCCUGACGGAGCAAUACCGCGUGAGGGAAGACGGCCUAUGGGUUGUAAACCUCUUUUCUCAGGGAGGAAAUCAAUGACGUUACCUGAGGAAUAAGCAUCGGCUAACUCCGUGCCAGCAACCGCGGUAAGA